GCGAAGCAUAGAAGGGUUUCCCAUCGCGCCGCCCCCGGUCCGCUUCCCGGUGGCGGAUGCGCCAGGGGAGGUCGGGACCGGGCGGACGAGGGAAAGCAGCCCAGGGGCCGUGAGGUUCGUCGGAUGUGGCCGUGUACUUCUCCCCGGAGGAGUGGGGGUGUCUGCGGCCCGCGCAGAAGGCCCUGAACCGGGACGUGACGCGGAAGACCUAUGGCUUUCUGGGCGCGCUCGUUGGAAAGAGAGGUGGAGGCGUGGAUCCCAGAGGCCCAGGAUCCAGGUCUCUGCAGCUGUGAGCAGAAACGAGGGAAAGGUCCUUCACUUCAAACCCCAGGUCGUGACCUUUGAGAACCUCUUCCCCCACUCGGAGCCUCAGCACACACUGCCCAUUCCAGAGCCCCUCCGUGUCUCCCUGCACCUGAUCUGCAGAAAGGGCUCAACAGAACAGCUGAAUUGAGACUGGUAGCACUUUUGGGGCUGCGUUGCCACCAUCUCUUAGGAAGGCACGUUCCAGUUCCAGUUCUGGUUCUGAUGCACCUUCAGACACCCGCGACUAGUGUUCAGUUCUCGGGCUGAGGCUCCUGGUCCCUCUUCCAAGUCCCACUUGAGGUUACUUCACUGAAAACCAUUCACCUAACUGGCUUUUCUUUCUGGAUUAUUCUCUCCCUUAGUGCAUUCUGCUUUCUGGACUAUCUCUCCCGCUUCUCAGAGACGGAGUACCCUAGAUGCAAGAGCCUAUUAAAGGAGCUUGUGCUCCCUGGAAUAGAGGGCACGCUUUGGGCUUGUCCGCACUGGGAAAGCUUAUCCAAGGAUUCUGUCUUUUAGCCAGAGCAGGUCAAGUAGCUAGCAAGGACACACGUAGUGUCAAGCCUCUGUUGGCAUUGUUUGGUCUUGAAGACUUAGAGGUGGUCGUAAAGAGGACAGUGGCUUCAGAUAUUUGCAUGUUUCCCGGAUUUUGCAUCUUUUGAAUAAAGAUGUAUUCUUUGGCCACAGCAACUGGAAAUAUGCUGGGGAAUUUUUUUUUUUUUUUUAAAGAAGGAGUAUAUUACUUGUGAUUACAGUUGAAACCAAGGCAUAGUUAUCUUCCGUCUUAAUUUUUACUGUAAUGUUUGUAUGUGUCAACAGUUGAGAGGUCUUUCUGACCUAUUUAGAUUUUCUAGCCCU